GUCUCCAGGUUCCAGCACGUGACUCACUAGUGAGUGUUUGUUUUUUGGAUUCUGGCUUUGAGUCACCACUCUUCCUGCUGUUGGUCUUCUCAACCGAGGGGUAACCACGGAAAAGGGAGGAUGAGAAAAGUCUGUGAUGCUUAAAGAACCUGAAAGCUGGCCGGCUGGCAGUUGUAUCCGCCCGGCUAAUUUUCAAGAUGGGUCUUUCCUCUGUAAACAAGAAUACAGCACUUAUAAAUAACAGCGGGAAAGGGGAAGGAGGGGAGAGGAAGAGAAGUAAGUCUACAAAGGAUGUGAUUGAGCUCAGCAAAUGGCAGCCUAACCAAGAAAUCACAUUUUCCAGCCUCUCUUGCAGCUCGAUGAGGAAAAUUGUGCUCAGCAUACAUAACCCUGCCCAGAUCAUGCAGCAUGUUAGUGCUGGAAGCAAUAUUUGCGCCCCAGAUUUCUCUGCCUUGAAAAAACAAUUGUACUGUUCAUAGCCUUUGGUAUGAUAUGAAAGAAAAAAAUACUGGGUUUAAUCUCCAAAAUUUACAGAGAACUCACACAACUUAACAAA